UUAAGUGACUAAGCGUACACGGUGGAUGCCUUGGCAGUCAGAGGCGAUGAAGGACGUAUUAACUUGCGAUAAGCCCAGAUUAGGUAGUAAAAACCAUUUGAGUCUGGGAUUUCCGAAUGGGGAAACCCACUUACAUAAGUAAGUAUCGCUGCGUGAAUACAUAGCGCAGCGAGGCGAACCGGGGGAACUGAAACAUCUAAGUACCCCGAGGAAAAGAAAUCAACCGAGAUUCCGAAAGUAGCGGCGAGCGAAAUUGGACUAGCCCUUAAGCUUUUUAUGCGUCAGGUGAAACUUCUGGAAAGUUGUGCGAUACAGGGUGAUAGCCCCGUAACCGGCAACGCAUAUAAAGUGAAAUCGAGUAGGGCGGGACACGUGAUAUCCUGUCUGAAUAUGGGGGGACCAUCCUCCAAGGCUAAAUACUACUGACUGACCGAUAGUGAACCAGUACCGUGAGGGAAAGGCGAAAAGAACCCCUGUGAGGGGAGUGAAAUAGAACCUGAAACCGUGUACGUACAAGCAGUAGGAGCACCUUCGUGGUGUGACUGCGUACCUUUUGUAUAAUGGGUCAGCGACUUAUAUUCAGUGGCAAGGUUAACCAUCUAGGGGAGCCGUAGCGAAAGCGAGUGUUAACUGCGCGACUCAGUCGCUGGAUAUAGACCCGAAACCAGGUGAUCUAGCCAUGGGCAGGUUGAAGAUUGAGUAACAUCAAUUGGAGGACCGAACCGACUAAUGUUGAAAAAUUAGCGGAUGACUUGUGGCUAGGGGUGAAAGGCCAAUCAAACCUGGAGAUAGCUGGUUCUCCCCGAAAGCUAUUUAGGUAGCGCCUCGGACGAAUACUACUGGGGGUAGAGCACUGUUAAGGCUAGGGGGUCAUCCCGACUUACCAACCCUUUGCAAACUCCGAAUACCAGUAAGUACUAUCCGGGAGACACACGGCGGGUGCUAACGUCCGUCGUGGAGAGGGAAACAACCCAGACCGCCAGCUAAGGUCCCAAAUUACUACUAAGUGGGAAACGAUGUGGGAAGGCUCAGACAGCCAGGAUGUUGGCUUAGAAGCAGCCAUCAUUUAAAGAAAGCGUAAUAGCUCACUGGUCGAGUCGGCCUGCGCGGAAGAUGUAACGGGGCUAAGUAGUAAACCGAAGCUGCGGCAAUGCACUUUGUGCAUUGGGUAGGGGAGCGUUCUGUAAGCGGUUGAAGGUGUGUGGUAACGCAUGCUGGACGUAUCAGAAGUGCGAAUGCUGACAUGAGUAACGAUAAAGGGGGUGAAAAACCUCCUCGCCGGAAGACCAAGGGUUCCUGUCCAACGUUAAUCGGGGCAGGGUAAGUCGACCCCUAAGGCGAGGCCGAAAGGCGUAGUCGAUGGGAAACGGGUUAAUAUUCCCGUACUUCUUACAAUUGCGAUGGGGGGACGGAGAAGGCUAGGUGGGCCUGGCGACGGUUGUCCAGGUUCAAGUGCGUAGGCUGAGAGAUUAGGUAAAUCCGGUUUCUCUUAAGGCUGAGACACGACGUCGAGCUACUACGGUAGUGAAGUCAUUGAUGCCAUGCUUCCAGGAAAAGCCUCUAAGCUUCAGAUUGUAAGGAAUCGUACCCCAAACCGACACAGGUGGUCGGGUAGAGAAUACCAAGGCGCUUGAGAGAACUCGGGUGAAGGAACUAGGCAAAAUGGUACCGUAACUUCGGGAGAAGGUACGCUCUUGAUGGUGAAGUCCCUUGCGGAUGGAGCUGACGAGAGUCGCAGAUACCAGGUGGCUGCAACUGUUUAUUAAAAACACAGCACUGUGCAAAAUCGUAAGAUGACGUAUACGGUGUGACGCCUGCCCGGUGCCGGAAGGUUAAUUGAUGGGGUUAGACUUCGGUCGAAGCUCUUGAUCGAAGCCCCGGUAAACGGCGGCCGUAACUAUAACGGUCCUAAGGUAGCGAAAUUCCUUGUCGGGUAAGUUCCGACCUGCACGAAUGGCGUAAUGAUGGCCACGCUGUCUCCACCCGAGACUCAGUGAAAUUGAAAUCGCUGUGAAGAUGCAGUGUACCCGCGGCUAGACGGAAAGACCCCGUGAACCUUUACUACAGCUUGGCACUGAACAUUGACCCUACAUGUGUAGGAUAGG
rnacentral:rRNA from 1 species